AUUUGAUUUGGGAUGUUUUAAAGGUCCCUGCUGCACAUCCGAAUGGAGCUUUUAAUGGACAGCUGAAUAUAUGAGUCUGGAGAUCAGAGAAGAGGUACAGACUGGAGAUACAAAUUGUAAAAGUCAUCAGUUGACACAUAGCAUUUAAAUCCAUGAGGCUGCAUUAAAGUAACAUGCAUUACUGGUUUGAGUCGGGGAUAGUCGAAGCCAUGAACUAGAACUGUGCCUACUUUUUAGGGGGUAUUACCCCAUGAACGUGGCCUCGUAAUGAUGUUCCAUCAUCUGUGAAAACACUGCCAGUAACCCCCAGAGAAUUAGCCAGAACUGCUCACAUUAAAGGAACUGACUGUGACCAAAACUCAAUCUGCCUGUAUGGCUCCAGUGAAUUUCUAAGACGUACAAUAUAAGACCAGAGAGGAAAUGGUGGGAUCCAGGAUUAUGCAAGAGACCCAAGAAUUCAUGAGUCAAGUGUGUGUUGAAAGGUCAUUGUGGGACACAGAGAAGCAUCUAGAGUGAGCAAUACAUUUAUAAAGAGAAAGAAAAUGUAGUCAUAGUACCUUAACAGAACUUUGUUGAUUUGCCUGCAAAACAGGAAAACAGAAACUGAAGAAAAGCUACCUUCAAAGUGCAAAAGGACCAGCUGGAAGGAGGUGAACUUGUCGCCAUCUCCACCAUGCUCGGUCCGGAGGGAGUGGGAUAGAAACACACGGAGGGGUUCAGUUCCUAGGUGUGACUCCAAGCCACAGCAUAUUAUGUUAUAUAGAGCUGACUCUGUAACUGAGCAAGAAACCAAAAAGGAGAUAACGUACUGGAUAUAAUGACCGAGUGCGAUGGCUUUGUAGAGCCCCAGAAAGUCAGCCCUAGGAGGGAUCAUCCAGUUUGACCAUCUUGUCAAAUCCUCUCAUUUUACAGGUAAGGGAGUUCCGGACGGUUGAAGUGACUGAGGUCACACAGCCAGGUGUGGCAGAGCUAAGAUUAAAACCUGGUUUUUGGUUUAUAUUGUGAUUUAGUAGGAAACCCUCCCAAUAUACUCCUUCAGAUGCACUGCUCUGUUGACUUUUUCUUUUUAAGCAGUAAUUUUAACUCUUUCUCUGAUCUUCCGGUUUCUGUCCUUAGACCCCAAGGUCCUCUAGGGCUUGGCUACAAAGGAUAAUGAGACAACAGUUGUAGAAAUAGUAGCAGGGCCCUCUCAGCGGUUUACCAAAAGCCAGGGAGCCCACUCUGAAAAGAACACAAUCACCCCUCGUGAAUGAACCCACCACACAUGCCCCAGCCCCCCAACGCACCCAACUCAGUAACACACGACAAAAGACAGCACAGCACACACACCAACUUUUGCCACUUUUGUAUUUUAUUGUGGAACUGAGGUGUUUUUUUUUUCUUUUACAUCAAAUAUCCUCAAUGGAAGAGGGGAUAUUGCACACAAAUAUCAUAAAAGCACUACAUAUUACUUUCACUGGAAACUAAUUUUCUACAUUAGAUAUGACUGGAUAGGAUAGAAGUGAUGCAGGAUUAUAAGACAUAAUACCAUACACAGCUGCAGACUGACACAAACACCAUUCAGAACAAGAGAGAGGAGUGGGAGGUGCUUCUCAGCCAGGCUCAAGACCAUGUCCUUCCAGGGUGGAAGGAGAAGGGCUGCAUGCAGCGCCGAAAGCCUGACUCAGUGCCGCAGGGGCGUUCUGAAAAGGGCAGCCCUGGUCUUGAUGCCCCAUCUCGAUGGCUCCUUUUUUGGGGAGCUCCAAAUGAGUGCAGAGAAGCUAUUUAUUUCUUCCCUUCCUUUUCAGUUGUUGAUGCUGCCUUUUAAAUUAAAGUCACAGAUUUAUUUUUUUCAUAGUAAAUAGUUUUAAUACCAGGUGAAUAACCUAAUUGCUUUCAAAGAAAUGCUCAUCCCCUAGGCUGCUUUUGGUGUGUUGUUCAGUUGGUUAAAAGAUAAAAGCUUGCUUACAGUUCCUUUCAGAUGGAAACAGGGUCUUUUCUUCUAAAUCUGAAGCGCAAAAAAAAAGUUAUUAAUCUAACUCACAAUGUCAUUACUGAGCAAGAACCUCCUGUGACAGGUGACUAAAGAGGCAAGAAAAGCAAUUUCAGAAUUAUAGAGCAGCUCCUGAGAGCUGAAAUUUGGUAACAGGGAAAA